GGUGCCGCUGGGCUGCACGCGGUUGGUCCCUCGCCACUGUUUCCUCUGCAGAUUCGCUGCAUCAAGGAUACGCGUGUGUAAUACCAAACGAAAACAACCUUUCAGAGGGAACCUUUCUUCAGUUUGAUGGCUUAGAGUUCCUUCUCUGUAUUUCCACGAGUAUCGUUCCCACCUCUGCCAACUUUUUGUCAUUUCUGUGCGACAGCAAAGAGUGAAUCCAAUUACGGGUGUCACGAUCACUCAGGAUGGCGGAUGGAGCGGAUGAUGCGGGGAUCUGGACGAUUGAUUGGUUGUUUGCGGGGUGAUCGCAUCGAUUAACCGGGAAGCACUUCGACCGGCAGUUUCUAUCAAUCAACGGCCAAAUCAGUCUGCAAAGAGCUGAAGUUAAACUGAGGGGGGAAGUGAGACUUUAUCUCUGAUGCUAAAAGCAGACCCAAGAAAUGAGUCUUCCUGUAGUCUCUGAAAAAUACUCUUUGGAAACAAAUGUUUUAUUAGGAGGAAUGUUGCUUCCUCCCCCGUUGGUCAUAAAAAAGAAAAAUGGGGAUUUUCCAAUAUUUCAGCUUCUUGAUGUCGGGGGUCAAGAGUGUGGAAGCUGAAUCGAAGGUUUGCAGGAAAUCAAAGUUGAUUGAAUUGCUGAGGGUUUGUAGGUUAAUGCUGACCAAGUGGCUCCAUCGAUAAUCCCAUGUAAGAAGCACAACUGCCUUUAUUUGCGGAAGUCGUCGAGGGAUCAUUAUAUACUUUCCCCCUGAAAUCAAAAUCUGCCACAUCAUUGAGGACAUUCUGAUCUUGAACAAACAAAAAUGUUUCCAUUAACUUUUAAAAGUUUCUUUGGCAAGAAAAAUGCCACUAAAUCAUAAAAUUAAAAUUAUUUUCCAAUGAAUCUUCUCUCAGAAAUAGCAGAUAUAGUUAUUAGUUAUCAGCUUUAACCCAACAAAAGACACAUUUACUUUACCUGCAGCUGUCACAAACCAAGGAAACGUGUUUAUUUUGGACUUUACUCGUUGUUCUUUUAAUUGCUCCUUCAUUCUUUUUAAGGGUAUAUUUCUUCCGUCCAGUUUCCCAUUUUUUUUCAAAUUGCGACUUCAUUGUAAGUAACUGCUGUAAAAAUUGGGGAGAAAACGUGGGAAACCAAGUUCAGAAUCUAAGUUUACCACCACAUCUACAGUACAACAUUUGCCUUUUUAUUGUAUCCUGCGGUUUAUCAGGCGACCAAAGAUUGUUCCCAGCAUCUUAGCGGGCCAAGCUAAUAAAACACAAGGAUCCAUCUCGUGAACUAAGCAGAAAACCCAACAGUGUUUGUCUGUUUCUUGGGUUCAGCGUUAAGUGGUGAGGUCAGAGGUGCACAGAACCGAUGCCCUGCCCCGAGUGUCGGGGGAGGGGGCAGGACUCCUUCCAAUCAAUGCGCACUGGCUUUCAGGAUGAGGGUUUGGAUCCACUGAGAUGAGAAUCAAGCUGACACUAAUGAUCCCUCCCCUUCACAUGGAGGCAAUUAUAUGGUUUUCCAGUGUUUAUUUUUGCAAACUAAUCAAUUGGUUUGAUUCUGCAAAACGAAAUUACUUUAACGUGACUGGUUAUUUCCACUUGUGGGGAGUCAUUUCAAAGUAAUAAAUGAAUAACUAAUACAGUUAGUCUGUAUUAAAACAAAGGACACGUAAGUCACAUAAAAAAAGC
ensembl:lncRNA